CAACUGGGGAACCUACUUUGGACCAAACAAGGUCCUCUGAAUAUAAAAAAAGAUAUGAAGAAAAUGACACAUCCAUGAAGCUCUUCCCCAAAUACUGUGGAAACGGAGUUCCAAUGUCAACUGCAAGAAUCUAGAAAGUUCUGUAUACUCGAAUCUACCUAUAGUCAAGAGUGGCCAUAUAGAUGUUUUGCAUCCAAUAGAUCUACUCAGCAGGUCCUGGAUCCAUAGCCAAAGUCCCUUUUAUCAUGCUACAGAAGGAGAGCUGUUAUCUUUUAUAUUGGGUUUUUGAGAGCAAAAGGACCAGUUUCAUGACUUUCUUACCAGUAAGGCAGCAUGCUACCUUUAUGUCUAUACAAGAGAACAGGUAGCGACUCCGAAGAUCAGCCCCAAUGAACAUGUCAGUGUUGACUUUACAAGAAUAUGAAUUCGAAAAGCAGUUCAACAGGAAUGAAGCCAUCCAAUGGAUGCAGAA